GACGAACCGUGCGAACGUUGUUCGGAAUCACUGGGCUUAAAGGGCGCGUAGGCGGCAGAUCAAGUCCGGGGUGAAAGCCUCCAGCUCAACUGGAGAAGUGCCUUGGAUACUGAUUUGCUCGAGGGAGGUAGGGGUCGAGGGAACUUCUGGUGGAGUGGUGAAAUGCGCAGAUAUCAGGAGGAACACCGGUGGCGAAGGCGGGUCUCUGGGCCGAUACUGACGCUGAGGAGCGAAAGCGUGGGGAGCGAACAGG
rnacentral:rRNA from 1 species